rnacentral:ncRNA from 1 species
UCCGCCGUGAGACGGAAUCUGAAAGAAGCUGUAAGCAAACCUCUGACCUGACGGACAGGAACCGCAUAUAAGGCUCGGAAAUACGGAUAAGGUGGCAAAAGGCACUGAAGUCCAAAAGGUUGCCGGAAGUACGAGUAAAUGCGGCAGGUACAUGGAGGAAAAGAACACGCA